rnacentral:lncRNA from 1 species
AAAGCAAAUCCGCCGUUCUUCAGAUGCUGUAAUCAGGGCAGACUGGCCUCCUCUGUCCCCAGGAAAAAGAAAUACGACUCAGAAGGACUGUCUGCACUGCGGCUGAUGACACUUAUCCAUUGUCCUGAAGGAGACAUCCCUUUUCAUCAGAGAGCAAUACCUGAUGAGACACAGUUCAGCCAGCUGCCAGAGAGCUAAAAGCAAUGUGGGGAUACAUGCUGUCUAAGCAUCUGCCAGUCAUGCUCUAAU